rnacentral:rRNA from 1 species
GGGUUGUGAGGUUAAGCGACUAAGCGUACACGGUGGAUGCCCUGGCAGUCAGAGGCGAUGAAGGACGUGCUAAUCUGCGAUAAGCGUCGGUAAGGUGAUAUGAACCGUUAUAACCGGCGAUUUCCGAAUGGGGAAACCCAGUGUGAUUCGUCACACUAUCAUUAACUGAAUCCAUAGGUUAAUGAGGCGAACCGGGGGAACUGAAACAUCUAAGUACCCCGAGGAAAAGAAAUCAACCGAGAUUCCCCCAGUAGCGGCGAGCGAACGGGGAGCAGCCCAGAGCCUGAAUCAGUGUGUGUGUUAGUGGAAGCGUCUGGAAAGGCGUGCGAUACAGGGUGACAGCCCCGUACACAAAAAUGCACAUACUGUGAGCUCGAUGAGUAGGGCGGGACACGUGGUAUCCUGUCUGAAUAUGGGGGGACCAUCCUCCAAGGCUAAAUACUCCUGACUGACCGAUAGUGAACCAGUACCGUGAGGGAAAGGCGAAAAGAACCCCGGCGAGGGGAGUGAAAAAGAACCUGAAACCGUGUACGUACAAGCAGUGGGAGCACGCUUAGGCGUGUGACUGCGUACCUUUUGUAUAAUGGGUCAGCGACUUAUAUUCUGUAGCAAGGUUAACCGAAUAGGGGAGCCGAAGGGAAACCGAGUCUUAACUGGGCGUUAAGUUGCAGGGUAUAGACCCGAAACCCGGUGAUCUAGCCAUGGGCAGGUUGAAGGUUGGGUAACACUAACUGGAGGACCGAACCGACUAAUGUUGAAAAAUUAGCGGAUGACUUGUGGCUGGGGGUGAAAGGCCAAUCAAACCGGGAGAUAGCUGGUUCUCCCCGAAAGCUAUUUAGGUAGCGCCUCGUGAAUUCAUCUCCGGGGGUAGAGCACUGUUUCGGCAAGGGGGUCAUCCCGACUUACCAACCCGAUGCAAACUGCGAAUACCGGAGAAUGUUAUCACGGGAGACACACGGCGGGUGCUAACGUCCGUCGUGAAGAGGGAAACAACCCAGACCGCCAGCUAAGGUCCCAAAGUCAUGGUUAAGUGGGAAACGAUGUGGGAAGGCCCAGACAGCCAGGAUGUUGGCUUAGAAGCAGCCAUCAUUUAAAGAAAGCGUAAUAGCUCACUGGUCGAGUCGGCCUGCGCGGAAGAUGUAACGGGGCUAAACCAUGCACCGAAGCUGCGGCAGCGACACUAUGUGUUGUUGGGUAGGGGAGCGUUCUGUAAGCCUGUGAAGGUGUACUGUGAGGUAUGCUGGAGGUAUCAGAAGUGCGAAUGCUGACAUAAGUAACGAUAAAGCGGGUGAAAAGCCCGCUCGCCGGAAGACCAAGGGUUCCUGUCCAACGUUAAUCGGGGCAGGGUGAGUCGACCCCUAAGGCGAGGCCGAAAGGCGUAGUCGAUGGGAAACAGGUUAAUAUUCCUGUACUUGGUGUUACUGCGAAGGGGGGACGGAGAAGGCUAUGUUGGCCGGGCGACGGUUGUCCCGGUUUAAGCGUGUAGGCUGGUUUUCCAGGCAAAUCCGGAAAAUCAAGGCUGAGGCGUGAUGACGAGGCACUACGGUGCUGAAGCAACAAAUGCCCUGCUUCCAGGAAAAGCCUCUAAGCAUCAGGUAACAUCAAAUCGUACCCCAAACCGACACAGGUGGUCAGGUAGAGAAUACCAAGGCGCUUGAGAGAACUCGGGUGAAGGAACUAGGCAAAAUGGUGCCGUAACUUCGGGAGAAGGCACGCUGAUAUGUAGGUGAAGUCCCUCGCGGAUGGAGCUGAAAUCAGUCGAAGAUACCAGCUGGCUGCAACUGUUUAUUAAAAACACAGCACUGUGCAAACACGAAAGUGGACGUAUACGGUGUGACGCCUGCCCGGUGCCGGAAGGUUAAUUGAUGGGGUCAGCGCAAGCGAAGCUCUUGAUCGAAGCCCCGGUAAACGGCGGCCGUAACUAUAACGGUCCUAAGGUAGCGAAAUUCCUUGUCGGGUAAGUUCCGACCUGCACGAAUGGCGUAAUGAUGGCCAGGCUGUCUCCACCCGAGACUCAGUGAAAUUGAACUCGCUGUGAAGAUGCAGUGUACCCGCGGCAAGACGGAAAGACCCCGUGAACCUUUACUAUAGCUUGACACUGAACAUUGAGCCUUGAUGUGUAGGAUAGGUGGGAGGCUUUGAAGUGUGGACGCCAGUCUGCAUGGAGCCGACCUUGAAAUACCACCCUUUAAUGUUUGAUGUUCUAACGUUGACCCGUAAUCCGGGUUGCGGACAGUGUCUGGUGGGUAGUUUGACUGGGGCGGUCUCCUCCUAAAGAGUAACGGAGGAGCACGAAGGUUGGCUAAUCCUGGUCGGACAUCAGGAGGUUAGUGCAAUGGCAUAAGCCAGCUUGACUGCGAGCGUGACGGCGCGAGCAGGUGCGAAAGCAGGUCAUAGUGAUCCGGUGGUUCUGAAUGGAAGGGCCAUCGCUCAACGGAUAAAAGGUACUCCGGGGAUAACAGGCUGAUACCGCCCAAGAGUUCAUAUCGACGGCGGUGUUUGGCACCUCGAUGUCGGCUCAUCACAUCCUGGGGCUGAAGUAGGUCCCAAGGGUAUGGCUGUUCGCCAUUUAAAGUGGUACGCGAGCUGGGUUUAGAACGUCGUGAGACAGUUCGGUCCCUAUCUGCCGUGGGCGCUGGAGAACUGAGGGGGGCUGCUCCUAGUACGAGAGGACCGGAGUGGACGCAUCACUGGUGUUCGGGUUGUCAUGCCAAUGGCACUGCCCGGUAGCUAAAUGCGGAAGAGAUAAGUGCUGAAAGCAUCUAAGCACGAAACUUGCCCCGAGAUGAGUUCUCCCUGACUCCUUGAGAGUCCUGAAGGAACGUUGAAGACGACGACGUUGAUAGGCCGGGUGUGUAAGCGCAGCGAUGCGUUGAGCUAACCGGUACUAAUGAACCGUGAGGCUUAACCUUACAACGCCGAAGGUGUUU